AGCUACAGUGAGGGUGACUGCCUGGGCCAUUUUCCGUUUGGUACAAAGGAAGGCAUGGCACUCCAGGUUCUCAUUGAGCUGGUUCUGGGCAAUGUAGGCAAACACUUUAUCGUGGAUCUUGUCUGCCGUGCAGUAGGAUAUCCUGUAUAUGGAGACGUUCUCAAUCAGCUCGUUAGUUCCACUGUCAUUUAGCACAAUCCCUCUGGGCGAGACUUUCAGCGUAACUUUCUGCAGUUUCUUUCCACUUGCUUUUGCGGUGGCAACGAUCCUUUUGACAGCAGCUGCAGAGAGCUCCUCACCCUUCGGCUGCUCCACCAGCGUCAUGCCCAAGUACUUGAGGCUGAAGAGCACCCCUUCCAGCAGCGUCUCUCGGGUAUCGGUCCAGUUCUCCGGGAGCUUCUGGUGGCGGCCGCCGGCCCAGGGCGGUUUGGUGACGCUCGGGCUGCGCAGCAGAGCGCGUCCCGCCGAGCGCAGCGCGUCCAUUCCCGCGCGGGACUUCGGCAACUUCGCCGCGCCGCCGCCGCUCCGCGCGUCCGGGGGCGGGGCCUGAGGGAGAGGGACAGCACAGCGCGACGGCGUGACGUUGCGUUACGUAACGUGACGCAACGCGACGUAACGACGCAAACGGGACGUGGCCGCCCGCGGCCGUGAGGCGGUUGGAGGCGGAGGCGGCUCCGGGCCGUUCCGUCGGGCGCGGCGCUCAUCGGCGGCUCAGCCUCUUCCGCUGGGAUUUAUGGGAGCGGAUUCUCACAGAGCCGCUGCAGACGGGAGCUUUUCUUUCAGUACUGAACCACGGCUGCAUACGUGGCUGCGCUCCGACGGUGACGGGCGCCGGCCCUGAGGUGAGGAGGUCUCACUGUGCCCGUACUGCUUCUUCCCACACACGUUGGCUGCAAAAGGUUCUGCGCGGGAUCUGCCAACGGCUGUGACCCCACAGGAGAAGGGAGGCGGCCAAAGCCAAACGCUGAAUGCGAACGGUGCCGAAGGAGGCAGCAAAACGGGGAGCAGCACAGCGAUGAGCGAUGCCAUUCCACGUUCUGCACGACGGUGGGAAACCUCCGGCAGUUCUGAGUAACGCUCCCACGGCGAGGAUUCCAAAGGACGAUCCAAAAAUGCGACUGCCAGCGACGCACAGACGUGGCUGAAGCUCCGAGCUCAGCCCGGAAGGAUUUAUCUGUGCUGGAAAGGAUGAAACUUCAAUACUUGACUGCCUUUUGCAUUCUGCCUUUUGCAUUUAUUAACGAGGGGCACCAAUUAGCAGGAAACCUCAGCAGAAGCCCUUUCAGAAGCUCUUUGUCUUUCCAGAGUCCGCUGCACGUUUGCAAAACCACAGCGCUGGGUUUAUUCUGCUCAUCCCAACGCAGUUUUGUUUCCCAUCCCUCCAACCCCCACCCCCAAAAUAACCUGCAGCCCUUUGGGAGUCAGCAGUGCAAACGUCUGUCCUACCAACCUACAUUGCACGUUUUAACUGAAACCUUUGUGCAAUUAAAAAAGCUCCUUAAAAACCUCCUUGGCACAACGGCUGGGGAAAUAAAAGAGUUGAACCUUUAAGUUUUCACACGUGAGGUGACAGGAAAAAAAAGGAUAAUAAUAAUAAUAAAAAAAAACAGAACCGCAGCUUUUAUUAGCCAGCUUUACAGUCUCUUGUAUACAGUACAUUGCACAGCUCCGCCUUCACAACAACGCUUCCUGGGUUAAUAUUGUGCCUUCCGUGAUGCUGUAUCAUCAAGGCAAGUUACAGAACACUGCUGAGUUUAUAUCGAAAUAAACAGAAGAUGUAACCUUGGUUUAUAAUGAACAUCCAAAUUACCAUGUACAAUUUGCAGCAGACUCUGUAAUGAGCUUGAUAUAAAGCUAGAUGACAGCGAAGGGGGGAAAAAUAGUUUAAACUAUCAAGUUUCCUCUUGAAAUGUCUUUUCCCAAGGCACUGUGAACAAGACUGUCGGCAGUUCUCAAUGACCAGAGACACCAAUGGGAGCAUAAAUAUUUCACACAACAACCACCGUCGCAUCCUCACCCAUUUCCUCCUCCUUUCCCUUAAGCAACGCCCUGACUUUGUUUGGUCCUUGGAGGGGGGACUCAAAUGAUCAUCCGUGAUAACCAUAUGUUUGUAUUGAACACAUCUAUCAAGCACAGCUUUGUCGGAUUGUUUAACCCUUUCGCUGUCAAAACAAAAGGUUUUUCCCUCACUGUUUCUCAACGAAUCUGAUUGGCAAAUUCAACUCGAUUGUUAAAAAAAAAAACAACAGGGAGAAGAAAGGGUUCAAAAUCAAGCAAAGCCCUGUAUUUUCAAGAGGAAACCAUGCACAAGUACAUAAGAAGGCAAAAUUGGCUACUUGAAAACCAAGAAUUGUUUUUAAUGCAUUGGCCAAGGAAAAUAAAUUGCAAAGUUCUGUGAGGUCUUCUAAAAAUUUACAAGAAAAACGGAUGGGCAGUUCUAGUCGAUCCAGAUGUUCUUUUUUUUUUUUUUUUUUCCUGUUUUUAAUGACAACAAAUAACAGUCUCACACAAUACAAUUUCAUCUUGGACUGCAAGAGACGCUCCUGUGUGAAGCCUUCGGCACGGCGACGUCACCGGGCAAAACCAGAGUUGGCAUUCAUUUCUUCAUGGGCUGAUAAACAGAGGCAUUGGGAUCAAGUCCGGAAGGGCUGGUCUCCACAAAUUUGGAAGAGUAAUGUGGGGAAACGGGGCUCAGCGUGCUGGUGGCUGCGGUGUACGUUAUGCUGGGCAUGACUGCCAUCACUUCGGCAAUCUUCUGUUUUAGCUCCUUGAUUUCCUGAUCUUUCUGAAUGAUUUGCCCUGAAAUGGCAAAGAGCGUCGCUGAGAAACAGCUGCACCUUCUCACCCUCCAGUGCUCGUUCUGUGAUCGGCUGCUGAAGCCAAACACCCUGAAGGGAUUCGGCUUUCUGAUAUCCUAACAGCAAAAGCAGACCCGGUGGAGCUGCCCCUCUGUGUCCGUGAGUUAUGUUUAAGGUACCACAUCACACCAUCACAUCUUCUAUUCGAUUUUGCACUGUUUGGAUCCACAACUGCACAGUGCCAAAAUGUGGUUUUUAUUCUGCCCUGUCCCGUUUGCAUUUCACAACCACCUCACGGGGGGUCAUUAAGUGCACUAUUUCCCUUAUUUUCAAAGCUGUCCGCACCAUUUUUCUACCCCCCCCCCCACUGUGCACACUCACCAACUCAUUACAGCAUUUGAUGUAAUUACAUAAAGAGCACGGAAAAAAAAGGUCCUCAUUCUAAGAAAACCUUCCUGCAAACGAACUCCUUCGAGGAAAUUCAAGAGCUACUCAACCAAGAGCUCACUUCCUUCUGCUCCAGGGCCUGCCCAGCUAACAGACAGCCCAGCAGGGUUAAAUGCUGCCUCCGUGCUCCCUCUGGUGGCACCCAAACACCGACACCUCCCUGCUUACCCACAGGGGGACUUUGGGGUUUUUUCCCCCCACAUUUUGGUUUAUUUGCUUCAGGAGAUUCGGGGAUGGGGAUAACAGACAGCACUACUAUCUUAUCUUAUCUUCUAGCUCUUUCAAAGAAGUUCUCCAGCUUUGAGGAAACCAUUUAUAACAAUGGAGAAAAUCCCAGGACGGGUUGUGUUGGGGGGGGACCCCGAGAUUCCCCAGCUCCAACCAUCCCCACCACUGGGUGUUACCUUGGGCAAUCUCAAGCUGCCGUUUCGCAUCUCCUAAUGCAGAGAAGAGAUCCAGCUUGAUCCGCGUCUCUGCGCUCAGGCUGUUCUCUAAGUGCUGUGUUUUAUCCUGCAUGGCUGACAGUGCUGACAUCAACACCUCCGUAUCCUUCUCAUUUUCCUUGUACUUCCGCAGUUCCUGUAGGAGCAAUGAGGAUAAAUGUUAUUCCUGUAGGUGUCACGGAUGAGAUGUACUGAGAAGUCUUUCCCUUCCCUACAGCACGCCACUGGGCCUGGUAUUAAUGCAGUCAAAUUAAAAUGAUGGUUAAUUGAGGACGCUGUAAUAUCACCUGCAGUAAUUAUACAUGACCAUCACACAAGUGAUUAAAGCCAUAUUGUACAAAGAGCAGUUACAGUGCAGUGAGCAGUUCCCAUUUCCUCUGCUCCUCAGCUCCUUAUUGUCUGUACCACUGAGACCUUUCACCCAUCCCUUCCAGCUGAGAGCUGCACAGCGCUCUUCUGCAAGCACAAAAUUGCUGAGCUGUGGAAUACGAAAGCAGCUAGAAUGGGGACAAAGCCCUUACCAGAAAGUUUAAAGCGAUACUAAAUACUGACUGACUGCACUGUAAGCUAUUUCAGGUGUCCGAUGGGAGGGAUUUCUUCCUCUUCACAUGCUUCCCGCGUUGAACCGAACUGAUGCAAACCAGAAAUGUAGAAAAGUGAAAAGGAGGGAGUAUUGCAUGGAGGAGACGGUCACCUUGUGGUGGGGAAUGGCUAUUCCUGGAGGCUUGGGGUUUUUUGUUGUUGUUAAGUUCCUUACUCGCCAACAGUGACAUUUAUAACAACACAGACUGGCAACAAGGCCUCACAUAGGACGUAAGGUGUAGUGGGGGUUAUGUUUUCCUCAGUCCGUCCUGACCAUUGGUUUGGGGAAAAAAAAACCAACCCAAAUCAUUUCAACAUUCGAGUGGUGUGGAGCUGAGACCCAUAACCUUUCUUAUCCCCAUCUUCUAACAAACCCUGAUGCAAGACGUGCAAGAAAGACAUCUGAAGAGAACAAUUCUGGAAGGUGUUGAUUGCCUCUUGUGUAGACCCAGCAGUCUCAAGGGUUUGAAAGCACUCACUGUGAUGCUGCUCUGAGCCCGGGCACUUUCUUGUUACCUGAACUUUCAUUUCUAGCUCUCGUAUCUGAUCUUCUUUCAGCUUGAUGUCAAUGGUCAGCUUCUUGCACUCUGUCUCCAGCUCUCGGAUACGAUUCCGUAAAGUUUCGGUACAUUCUCCUCUGCAGGAGAAGCAUUAAAAGAGAAGACAGUAAAUAAAAGCAGGAGGCUGUCAGCCUGGGAUUGCUUACUGCAUGGAAAGUACUAUCAGUAUUGAAGGAUAAGAAAGGAAAGGUAACCUCAUUCUUUUCAGUAAGAGAUUUUCCUUAUGGCAACAAUGAAAAACUCCAAGGAGUUACCCCAAUUUUACACCCCAAGGAUUGGGAAGUUAUCUCGAACAUUUAUGAAUGACGGACAACAGAAAAGCUGAAAUAAUGCUUUUUAGACACUUGGAACAUUGCAAUCAUCGACGCUUGCACCCUAUUUUCACGUUAAAAACCAUUCCAUCUUUGCAUUAAUAGUGAAAUAUCACUGUGCCGAGCACUUGCAGUCAGUGGCGACAGCAGAAUACUGCUGAGGAGCGAGAUAAAGGCCAUUGUCACUGCAUGAAGCCUUGAUUCACAGCCCCCGUCUGCAAGGGGAGAUUUCUGUUUUGAGAGGACUGACCCACACCGGGCACAACAGCCACUGCACAGCUGGUAACUCACAGCACAUUCAUCAUCUGAGACAUUUUCUGGAGCUGAUAUUCCUUCUGGAGUAGAACCACAUACCUUGUAGCAGCAGCAAACGCAACAGCACGUGCAGCGGUCGCUUCUUCCAACUUCUUUCUCUUUUUUUCUUCCAUUAAUUGCUUUUCUACAAAGGCUCUUGCCUCUUGCUCUGCCUUUAGUUUCUUCUCCAGCUGGCUGAUCAUUUGCUUGUCUUUUUGUUUCAUUUGUACAGCAUUGUGCAAUCUGGAAGGUAACAGGUAUGGGAUUUAGCACAGGUUUUCACUUACUACAACUAAACCACUGUCACUAUUCCCAAGCGAGUUUUGCUUUCUUACAAGCAAGCACGUUAUGCUUGGUAAAGUCUCAACACAUUAUUUCCCCCUCCAGCAAACUCCAGCCAUCAGCAAGCAACCCACACAGCUUUGCAGAGCACAUACUUGUUCUGGAGCAGUUCGUUUUCCUGCCGGAGCUGUCCGAUCUCAGACCGAAUUCCCCGCUCUGUGUUAGUCAAAGAACUGAUCUGGCUACGCAGCUCCUGCUCAAUCUGCCUGCUUGCUUGCAGGUCAGCCUUUAACUUUUUAAUGUCUUGUUCCAACCUAAGACAGACAAUUUUAAAAGACAGUGUUCAAUUUAAAAGGCUGUACUUUCCCACUACCCAAAGGUUCCAACGCAUCAGACUGGAAACUGAUGCCUCUCUUUGCUGUACCAUCUUUUAGGUAACUCUACAUACAGCUAUAUGUACAGCUGUGCACACACUUCAUAACCCUCACAGGAAGUCUGUUCCCCUCCAAGCACUGCAGCCCUGUGGAACACCUGAUGGAAUCACCUUCCCUCCAAGCAGAAAUGAAACUGAUAAGGCUGAGAAUCCCCCAGGGCUGGCAGGUGACCACACGAGCACAUUGUUGCUUUUCUCACCUAAUUCAGGCUGUUAGCGACGCACUGCACUCCUGAAUUCCUGCUAAACAUGGCUGGGUUUUUCCCUUGAAGUACAAGAUGUGAACAUGUUAUGUUAUCCAUAAUUCAGGGCUUGGUGAAUUUAGUUUCAAUUCCUCCUGAACUGAGAGAAUCCAGCAAGUCACACAACCUUAUUCAUUCAUAUAUCUUCAUCUUAAAUGGGUUAAAUAAAGACACCAGUUUGUAAUGAGAGGCCCCCAGCUCACCUCUGUGUUCCCCACACGUUUGAAAUAAGAUUGUUCUCUCUUAAAAUAAUGAAUUAAAAAUACAUCCUAUCUGUAUGCAUGGGUAGAAGAAAAAUCGUAGUGGGCAAACAGUGAUGGCACCAAGCAAAUGAAUGCUUCAUGUUGAGGACAAGAAGUUAUUUCAACACCCUGAGCUCCGUCGUGACAAUGGGACAGCAGGAAAGUGUCCUCCCUCUAUGAGUUAGGAAGCCAAUAACCCAUCACAACGUAAGGACCAAAUGUUUCCUGCCUGGUUUCUCUCAUUCAGAUAUCAGAUCUACCAAAAUUAGUGGUACUUCAUUAAAAAAAAACGUUCAUUUCCAUUAGAAAUAAUAAAGAAGUGCAGUUCUUGCAUUCCCUGGUGUGAGCUGUGUGCUCAUCUUCAGCCCCCAAAUGUUCUGCUGUAAAAAAGCAAGUCCAAGCUCUUCUGUGCAUACAGAGGCAACGCCAAUUUCUUUCAGCUUCUCAUUACUAGAAACACAGAUAUGCUUCUUCUUUUCUUAAGCACAGCUGCAUAUCAUUACUGACCUCAGUAACGAAGUAAAUGACUGAGCAGUCCCCUCCAAGAUGGAUCGUUUCCCUUAUUGCCUUGGGAAGGCAACGACAGCUCAGUCUGCUGCUUCCAGCUGUCCAUAACCCACUGAUGAUGUGUCCCUUCGGUUACACCUCCCCAUAAUCACCUGCCUACAAAAACUGAAGUUCUAUGUGACCCAAAGUGCUUUGCUAAGAGACCUGUUCUUUGUUUUGCUCUCUUGUGGCCCCAUCUGUUGGUGUGAGCCCUGCUGCCAAUGUAACAGCAUUGACAAUGUGACUGCAUUAACAGCGCUGCAGUUCUGCUGUGGGUGAUGUGCCAUUGCUAGCAGCUCCUCAGGGCACAAUCCAGGUGAAUGGACAUCAAGAUGUGACCUCUCCCAUCUUCGCAGCUCUGUUAAAGUGCUGUGGCCUGCAUUUAAACUGGUGUGUUAGCAGUGAUGCACACAGCAAGCUUGAGUUAUCGCUUCAAGGAGUCGUAGGGCAGCUGCCACUUUGCAUCCGUAGUUGUGAAUUAAAAACAAAAGCCAAACAUUCCAGGGGGAAAAAGAGAUCCCACCACCAAACGAGAAACCAAAACCUGCCCAGGUAACACCGAACCCCUCUGAAUUCCCUGCAGAUGUAAAGGUCACCCAGGAAUGUUUGCUAAGAACACACCGCUGAGCUCUGCAAUGAGCAUUCUCCACGUUUCCCUCAUUUCCCUCCAGUGACUGUCACAGCCAUCCACAAAGCCCCACAACACCCCUGUGAGGUCGGUGAGGACCUCGUCCUGAGGGACACAGCAAGCUGUUUGCUGAAGACUGUGUGGCCAAUGGGAGGCAAAAGUCAGGAAGAGAAGCCCAGCAGUCUGCCUCCUGCCUGCCUUACCCCAUUACAAGCCAGUUCUGUCCUCUUCACGAGACCAUGAAUUACAUUUCCCUUAGAAGACCAACUACAAAAAUACAGCCCAAACAUACCCAAUGCCUGGCACCACGAGAGGCCGUUAACACUGCAUUGCAAUGAAACUCACCUGACCAACGCAUCUGGUUUGCUGAGCUGGUUGUUGGGAAUACAGUUCUCCAUUAAGUCCUUAUGUGCGCUCGGGCUCUUGCUUGGACACUUCUGUUUCUUCUCAUUUUUAGUGGAUGCUGAAGGGAUGCUCCCAUUGGUCGCACUGUGACUGCGGGGGGAGGAGUUCACAACUCCACUGACAUUUUUGUAGUUUUUGGAUGAGGCAGUGCAUGAGUCCUCUUUUAAGAGGUUUUCUGUACUUCCUACGAGAUCGUUAUUUAAUCUUUUACUAUUGAUAUGGUUUUCCAUAUAUUCAAUUUCUUGUAUUUUAGAGUCUACAGGUUGCAAAAUGUUGUUAUUUAUCCCAAGGUUGUGUUUCUUAGCAUCCUUGUCCUUUUCUUUCCCUUUUUCUCUAUAUUCUAGCUCUGGCAACGUUGCAGAUAGUUUUUUAUUUGCUGGAAUGCCUCCAUUGUGCUGCAGAAGUAUCGAGGAAUCCAUCUCAGAUAAUCCUUUGGCUGCAACAGCAAAAUAAAGAAAAGAAAAUGAGUUUGUUCAAAUCAAUCAAUAUUACGACACGAAGAAAAAUGAUGGAGUCUACAACCAUCUCUUCUGCAGAAGGCAAUCAUUAAGAGUCCGCUUAGCAAAAAGAAAAGAAAGCCAAACCCAUGAAGAAAAAUAGGGGUGGCCAGCAGGGAGAGGGAGGCGAUCGUCCCCUUCUACUCGGCUCUUGUGAGGCCCCAUCUGCAGCACUGUGCCCAGGUCUGGGGCCCCCAACACAAAGACGUGGAGCUCUUGGAGAGGGUCCAAAGGAGGGCCACUAAGAUGAUCCGAGGGCUGGAGCACCUCUCCUGUGAGGAAAGGUUGAGGGAACCGGG
rnacentral:lncRNA from 1 species